UACGAAGGGGGCUAGCGUUGUUCGGAAUCCCUGGGCGUAAAGCGCACGUAGGCGGAUUCCUAAGUCAGGGGUGAAAUCCCGAGGCUCAACCUCGGAACUGCCUUUGAUACUGGGGACCUUGAGUCCGGGAGUGGUGAGUGGAACUGCGAGUGUAGAGGUGAAAUGCGGAGAUAUUCGCAAGAACACCAGUGGCGAAGGCGGCUCACUGGCCCGGUACUGACGCUGAGGUGCGAAAGCGUGGGGAGCAAACAGG
rnacentral:rRNA from 1 species